rnacentral:rRNA from 1 species
AUUGAACGCUGGCGGUAUGCUUAACACAUGCAAGUCGAACGGUAGCAGGCCUUCGGGCGCUGACGAGUGGCGGACGGGUGAGUAAUGCAUAGGAAUCUGCCUAUUAGUGGGGGAUAACGUGGGGAAACUCACGCUAAUACCGCAUACGCCCUACGGGGGAAAGCGGGGGACUUUCGGGCCUCGCGCUAAUAGAUGAGCCUAUGUUGGAUUAGCUAGUUGGUAGGGUAAAGGCCUACCAAGGUGACGAUCCAUAGCUGGUCUGAGAGGAUGAUCAGCCACACUGGGACAGAGACGCGGCCCAGACACCUACGGGAGGCAGCAGUGGGGAAUAUUGGACAAUGGGCGAAAGCUUGAUCCAGCAAUACCGCGUUUGUGAAGAAGGCCUGAGGCGUGUAAAGCACUUUCAAUAGUAAGGAAUACCUAUCGGUCAAUCCCCGAUAGACUGACAUUACCUAUACAAGAAGCACCGGCUAACUCCGUGCCAGCAGCCGCCGUAACAC